AUUGAACGCUGGCGGCAGGCCUAACACAUGCAAGUCGAGCGGAUGAAGGGUGCUUGCUUCUGGAUUCAGCGGCGGACGGGUGAGUAAUGCCUAGGAAUCUGCCUGGCUGUGGGGGAUAACGUCCGGAAACGGGCGCGAAUACCGCAUACGUGCAGAGGGAGCAAGUGGGGGAGCUUCGGACCUCACGCUAUCAGAUGAGCCUAGGUCGGAUUAGCUAGUUGGUGGGGUAAAGGCCUACCAAGGCGACGAUCCGUAACUGGUCUGAGAGGAUGAUCAGUCACACUGGAACUGAGACACGGUCCAGACUCCUACGGGAGGCAGCAGUGGGGAAUAUUGGACAAUGGGCGAAAGCCUGAUCCAGCCAUGCCGCGUGUGUGAAGAAGGUCUUCGGAUUGUAAAGCACUUUAAGUUGGGAGGAAGGGCAGUAAGUUAAUACCUUGCUGUUUUGACGUUACCAACAGAAUAAGCACCGGCUAACUUCGUG
rnacentral:rRNA from 1 species